GCAGGCGUUGGCCACGGUUUCAGGCUGUGGCUGGGUUAGGGACGCUCGCGGGACGUUGCCAGACCACGUCUUCCGAAAACGAGGAUCGCUCGGUCUGUGAAGAACACUUUCGGGACACAAGCAUGUACCGAAGGCGCCGUGAAAACCGAUGACUUGGAAACCUCUGUAAAUGAGCACAGCGAUGAUGGAACCACAGGGCUGCGGUCUACGGACUUUAUCCUAAGAAAAGAAUCCGAUAAACGUAGAUACUCGUGCAUCAGGAUAUUUGCUCUAGUAGAACAACAGCUGAAUGGACGUGCGUGUGCAUGAAGGCGUCUCCGUGCCACCGCACCAAACACAGCCUCAAGGGACGGUCACAUUCGGAAUAGGAUAAGAAGACAGAGAGUUAGGGCCGGAGUGAAUGAAGAACUUUCCUCAGACGGCUGCUACUCUCCACCUUAUUGUACCCUGUCGUCCACACUUCAGAUGAUGUCCGGUGCGUCAGGGCUGCUCAAAGCAAUAAACGGGGUGAAUCACGACGGGAGUGCGGGCCGGGAAGGCUCGGAGACGCACACGAGGCGGCAGAGACGGUGAGAACGCGCACGUGGGGCGCACGGAAAGGGCAGAGGCUGAGGACAGCAUCCGAGCGGGCGGCUCCGGCAGCAGGGACCCCGCUGGACCGCCGCCACCCGCGCGGCAAACAGCGCCACCCGCUUGGCAAACCGCGGUGCAAGGGGGGAGAGCCAGGGCCUCCGUCUCUGGAUCUUCCUUCCGAAACUAAGAAAUGAACACACACGAAGUAACAGCAAAACACGCAGGCUCCAUAGGACAACCCUACACAUGUGAGCCCAUCACACCGCGGACGUACCUGGGUGUGGGCACUCUUCCGGGCGUGGACACCGGCCCCGGGUGUGGACACUGUUCAGGGUGUGGACACCAUCCCCGGGUGUAGACACUGUCCCGGGUGUGGACGCUGUCCCAGGUGUGAGCACUGUCCCUGGGUGUGGACACUGUCCCAGGUGUGGACACUAUUCCCAGGUGUGGAUUCCGUCCUGGUGUGGGUCCUGUCCCUGGGUGUAGACACUGUCCCGGGUGUGGACACUGUUCCCGGUGUGGACAUGGCCCCCAUGUAUGGACACGGUCCCUGGGUGUGGACACGGUCCCCGGGUCUGGACACUGUCCUCAUCUGCUGCAGCCCUGGGAGGCAGAUCUGACCCGUGCAGGGGACCAGGUGACAGCACAGUGACCUGAACUCUUCCCGCCGAAUACCCCGAAAUGAGGCAUGGCCCCGCACUUUCAACUUCCAGGCUCUGGUGAGUGGAAUGAAAUCUGACGCAACGUAGAGGCUAACGUAGGUCGUUUUCAUGCUCUGAGCUCCUGUUUUAUGGUGGAAACGGGAAAAACGGAAGGAGGAACAGAAUCCCCGAGGUCCGGCUGCCGGGUGUUUACGGCUCUGUAUUUCGUGGCUACGUGUAUUUGAUCUGCCGAACGGAAAGGGACGCUCGCGCUAGGCCUUCUUCCUCCACUACCGGGGACCGCGCUGAUGCCGCGAGUCUGACGGGGCUCAGGCGGGAGCGAGGCGGGGGCCGGUUGGGGUCUUGCACCAUGACGUCCCGCUGCUGGCUUUCGGAAGCAUGUGGAACCUGAGGACCAGCCCUCAUCAUUUCCAAGCAAUGGGAGCACGGUGUCCCGGUUUUCCUUCCCGUCUGAAGGUAAAGAGGUGGCCUGGCGAGGACAGAGUGGUACCAACGUGCGAGGCGGUUUGGUGGCUGCCUAAGAAAACAGCCUCAGGAUCACAGAGGAGCAAGGGGCAUGUCUGGCCUUCCAGAUGAGAAAGGGAGGUCAGGGGAGAGGCAGGGCUGGCGGAGGGGUGCACCUGAGCAGGGAAGGGGGGGGACAGA